AACGAACGCUGGCGGCAUGCCUAACACAUGCAAGUCGAACGAACCCUUCGGGUUAGUGGCGCACGGGUGCGUAACGCGUGGGGAUCUGCCCAAAGGUUCGGAAUAACUCAGAGAAAUUUGAGCUAAUACCGGAUAAUGUCUUCGGACCAAAGAUUUAUUGCCUUUGGAUGAACCCGCGUAGGAUUAGCUUGUUGGUGGGAAAGGCCGUACCAAGGCGACGAUCCUUAGCUGGUCUGAGAGGAUGAUCAGCCACACUGGGACUGAGACACGGCCCAGACUCCUACGGGAGGCAGCAGUGGGGAAUAUUGGACAAUGGGCGAAAGCCUGAUCCAGCAAUGCCGCGUGAGUGAUGAAGGCCUUAGGUUGUAAGACUCUUUACCUA
rnacentral:rRNA from 1 species